rnacentral:lncRNA from 1 species
GGAGCGCAAGUUAAAGCUGGUCCAGCCUCUCUCUGUAGAGCCCCGCCUCUUUUUCCAUACCGCCCUCUGGGAGUAGGGGUGUGCAGCAGGCUCCUCCCGCCCCCUUCCUCUGAGUGACAGGACCGUCGAUCGCAACAUUUCCAGGUGGACACGUAGUUUGUUGGCCCUUGCGUUGGCUGAGCUGAGUUCGUCUUUCUCAUGUGACAGCAACAGAAAACCACUUGUGAGUAUUAAGAAAAAGAAACCAAGAGUUUAUUGUAUCUGGAAUUGAAUUUGCCAGGAAUGUGAGCACAGCUUCCUCUGUGAAGAUCUUGCCUUUGGAAACAUCUUACCCCUUGGCAGCUCUCCAGAGUUCAAACUUGGCAGCCUCAAGGACACAACACAAGGUGUGUUUAUUUGAUUUAGCAUUUGGCAAAAGGUGUUUUGACUUGUGGUUUGUUUUCUUUCACUUUGUUUUUCUUGUUUUGGUUUGUUUGGGGCUAUGAACUUGAGAUCAAAUAUAGUUCUUUCUUAUAGAAGGCUGAAUUACAAUAGGAAAAUGUUUUUACUUGGAUUUAUUUUGUAAUAUUUGGGCAAAUUCUAAUAAAUGAAGCAAGAUCAUUAGAACUAUAAAUCUA